AUCACUUCUUGGCCUUUUGGCUAAGAUCAAGUGUUAACCUUAACAAUAUUUUUUAUUUUUAUUUUUAAAAUUUUUUUUUCAACGUUUAUUUAUUUUUGGGACAGAGAGAGACAGAGCAUGAACGGGGGAAGGGCAGAGAGAGAGGGAGACACAGAAUCGGAAACAGGCUCCAGGCUCUGAGCCAU